CUGUGCGAAAGCCCGGCGGACGGCGUCUUCGCCGCUGCCGGCGGCGAGCUCGCCGGUCCGGGCCUGCGCGAUGCCGGUUUGAAGCCGGUCACGCAGC
rnacentral:tRNA from 1 species